rnacentral:rRNA from 1 species
UACGGAGGUGGCAAGCGUUGCUCGGAAUCACUGGGCUUAAAGGGUGUGUAGGCGGUUCAUUAAGCGUAACGUGAAAGCCCACGGCUCAACCGUGGAACUGCGAGACGAACUGAUGAACUUGAGGUACGUAAGGGUCGCUAGAACUCUGGGUGGAGCGGUGAAAUGCGUAGAUAUCCAGGGGAAUGCCAGUGGCGUAGGCGAGCGGCUAGGCGUAUUCUGACGCUGAGGCACGAAAGCGUGGGGAGCGAACGGG